CGGACGGGUGAGUAAUGUCUGGGAAACUGCCUGAUGAGGGGGAUAACUACUGGAAACGGUAGCUAAUACCGCAUAACGUCGCAAGACCAAAGAGGGGGACCUUCGGGCCUCUUGCCAUCGGAUGUGCCCAGAUGGGAUUAGCUAGUAGGUGGGGUAAAGGCUCACCUAGGCGACGAUCCCUAGCUGGUCUGAGAGGAUGACCAGCCACACUGGAACUGAGACACGGUCCAG
rnacentral:rRNA from 1 species